GGUUCGGACCCGAGGAACCGAGACCCCCAGCAGUGAGCCAGCUGCUUCAGAGUCUCUUCAGAGCUAGCCAGAGGUGAGUGGAAUAAACUCUAAGUUUUAAAGCAAAUUAAUGAAAUGUUAUAGCAUGAUUCACGCAUCAUGAAUGCCAUGAGAUAUAUUAGGUUGUGUGCAUUAGAAUUCACGAAUAUGUUGCAUUGCAUACUUUGUUGUUGAUGUGGAUGGAUGUUGAAUGAUCCAUUAGCCCUUGUAUGUCAUGAUAGCCUAUGUGAGACCAAGUGUGCCUGCCACGGCUCUACGCCCCUGGCACUAUGACUGAUUAUGAAAGUCCGGGUGUGCCUGCUACGGCUCUACGCCCCCAGCAUGUAUAAGUAAGAAAGAUAGGGGCUAAAUGGUGACAAGUUCAUCCUUGUUGUGAAAUGUUUGUGUUAUGGCGCAUACAUGAAAGCAUGAUUUAAAUUGAUGUUUUAUUAUUCUGCUCACUGGGCUCUAGUAGCUCACCCCACUCCCUUUACCCCCAGAGUUGCAGGUACAGGAUAGAUCAGGAAGUCGGCUAGAGUGAAGUUCAGUCAUGUAUGUUGUAAUAGAUAGUAGUGGACAUGAACAUGAUGUAAUGAGUAUUUAUGACCAUGUAAUGUAAUGAAUGAUUUGAUGAUGUAUUGAGGAUUUUAGUAGUGCUUGACCUAGAGGUGUGUGAAUCCCCAUUAUGUACAGAGUGUUUAAUGAGUAAUGAUGUUAAUGACCAUGAUUAUCCAAGCUGAUAUGUAUGAUGAUGAUACCCCAUUGGAGUAUUUGAUGAGGACUCCAGUGUGGGGUUUAUGUAUGAUUUUGUGCAUG
rnacentral:lncRNA from 1 species